UCUUAGUGGCGAACGGGUGAGUAACGCGUAAUCAACCUGCCCUUCAGAGGGGGACAACAGUUGGAAACGACUGCUAAUACCGCAUACGAUCCAAUCUCGGCAUCGAGACUGGAUGAAAGGUGGCCUCUAUUUAUAAGCUAUCACUGAAGGAGGGGAUUGCGUCUGAUUAGCUAGUUGGAGGGGUAACGGCCCACCAAGGCGAUGAUCAGUAGCCGGUCUGAGAGGAUGAACGGCCACAUUGGGACUGAGACACGGCCCAGACUCC
rnacentral:rRNA from 1 species